CGGCAUGCCUAACACAUGCAAGUCGAACGAGACCUUCGGGUCUAGUGGCGCACGGGUGCGUAACGCGUGGGAAUCUGCCCUUGGGUUCGGAAUAACAGCGAGAAAUUGCUGCUAAUACCGGAUGAUGACGUAAGUCCAAAGAUUUAUCGCCCAAGGAUGAGCCCGCGUAGGAUUAGCUAGUUGGUGAGGUUAAAAGGCUCACCAAGGCGACGAUCCUUAGCUGGUCUGAGAGGAUGAUCAGCCACACUGGGACUGAGACACGGCCCAGACUCCUACGGGAGGCAGCAGUGGGGAAUAUUGGACAAUGGGCGAAAGCCUGAUCCAGCAAUGCCGCGUGAGUGAUGAAGGCCUUAGGGUUGUAAAGCUCUUUUACCCGGGAUGAUAAUGACAGUACCGGGAGAAUAAGCUCCGGCUAACUCCGUG
rnacentral:rRNA from 1 species